rnacentral:rRNA from 1 species
GUGACGAAGCGACGCCGCGUGCGGGAAGAAGGCCUUCGGGUUGUAAACCGCUGUCGGGAGUUAGGAAAUGCAAGGAUGUUAAUAGCGUCUUUGCUUGACUAAGGCUCCGGAGGAAGCCACGGCUAACUCUGUGCCAGCAGCCGCGGUAAUACAGAGGCGGCAAGCGUUGUUCGGAAUUAUUAGGCGUAAAGAGCACGUAGGCGGCCGUGUAAGUCGGUUGUGAAAGCCUUCCGCUCAACGGGAGAACGGCAUCCGAUACUGCAUGGCUCGAGUGCGGGAGGGGAGAGUGGAACUUCUGGUGGAGCGGUGAAAUGCGUAGAUAUCGGAAGGAACACCGGCGGCGAAGGCGACUCUCUGGCCCGUAACUGACGCUGAGUGUGCGAAAGCUAGGGGAGCAAAUGGGAUUAGAUACCCCGGUAGUCCUAGCCGUAAACGAU